UACGUAGGUGGCGAGCGUUGUCCGGAAUUACUGGGCGUAAAGAGAGCGUAGGCGGCACUACAAGUCUCAUGUGAAAUACCCGGGCUUAACUUGGGGGUUGCAUGGGAAACUGUAGAGCUUGAGUACAGGAGAGGCAAGCGGAAUUCCUAGUGUAGCGGUGAAAUGCAUAGAUAUUAGGAGGAACACCAGUGGCGAAGGCGGCUUGCUGGACUGAAACUGACGCUGAGGCUCGAAAGCAUGGGGAGCAAACAGG
rnacentral:rRNA from 1 species